rnacentral:rRNA from 1 species
UACGAAGGGGGCUAGCGUUGUUCGGAAUUACUGGGCGUAAAGCGCGCGCAGGCGGUUCUUCAAGUCAGAGGUGAAAGCCCAGAGCUCAACUCUGGAAUGGCCUUUGAGACUAGAGAACUUGGGUACGGGAGAGGUGAGUGGAAUUCCGAGUGUAGAGGUGAAAUUCGUAGAUAUUCGGAAGAACACCAGUGGCGAAGGCGGCUCACUGGCCCGUUACCGACGCUCAGGCGCGACAGCGUGGGGAGCAAAGCAGG